rnacentral:rRNA from 1 species
UAACACGUAAAGAACCUGCCUCAUAGACGGGGACAACUAUUGGAAACGAUAGCUAAUACCGGAUAACAGCAUAAAUCGCAUGAUAUAUGUUUAAAAGUUGGUUUCGGUUAACACUAUGAGAUGGCUUUGCGGUGCAUUAGCUAGUUGGUGGGGUAAAAGCCUACCAAGGCGACGAUGCAUAGCCGACCUGAGAGGGUGAUCGGCCACACUGGGACUGAGACACGGCCCAG